AUACGAAGGGGGCAAGCGUUGUUCGGAAUAACUGGGCGUAAAGCGCACGUAGGCGGAAUGUUAAGUUAGAGGUGAAAUCCCAGGGCUCAACCCUGGAACGGCCUUUAAUACUGGCAAUCUAGAGACCGAGAGAGGUGAGUGGAACUCCGAGUGUAGAGGUGAAAUUCGUAGAUAUUCGGAGGAACACCAGUGGCGAAGGCGGCUCACUGGCUCGGUACUGACGCUGAGGUGCGAAAGCGUGGGGAGCAAACAGGAUUAGAAACCCUAGUAGUCC
rnacentral:rRNA from 1 species